CAUGGACCCUAUCAAAUCGGUGACACUUUUCGAGGAAUAUGUGACGUGGAAUUACCACCUGAUGAUAAUAUAACAAACGUAGAUGCAUAUUGGAAAGUUGGGAAUACUGACUAUUGUCACAACGGUCAAAAGAUAUUGCUUAAUAUGAACUACACGUGUGGGGCAAUUACUGUACAGAAUACGACUUACUUCGAACUUCGAGUUCCAGACCUUACAUUAGAAGAUUCUGGUGCAUACGCGUGUAAAGUAAAGCAUACCACUAAAGGUUUUGAGAAUACUGAUUCUCUAAAUAUUACAGUUCUAGAUCCUUCCAUCACAAAACCACGUAAAAAAGCAGGUAAAACUUGAAAUCAACAACAGUGACCGCUCUAACUGGCAGUGAUGGUAGGGGAGGAGCUGUCUCAGUAGAAACCAAACUUCUAUCAACUAUCGCCAUUAUGUUGUCAGCCUCUCUUAUUUAUAUUUGAUUCUCAGUAGAAACCAAACUUCUAUCAACUAUCGCCAUUUUAUUGUCAUCCUCUCUAGUUUAUAUUUGAUUCUCAGUAGAAACCAAACUUCUAUCAACUAUCGCCAUUAUGUUGUCAGCCUCUCUAGUUUAUAUUUAAUUCUCAGUAGAAACCAAACUUCUA